ensembl:snRNA U4 U4 spliceosomal RNA
AGCUUUGCGCAGUGGCAGUAUCGUAGCCGAUGAGGUCUAUCCGAGGCGCGAUUAUUGCUAGUUGAAAACUUUACCCAAUACCCCGCCUAGACGACUUGCAAUAUAGUCGGCGACGGCAAUUUUUGUCGGUCUCUAAGGAGA